rnacentral:rRNA from 1 species
AGUGAACGCUGGCGGUAGGCCUAACACAUGCAAGUCGAACGGCAGCACAGUAAGAGCUUGCUCUUACGGGUGGCGAGUGGCGGACGGGUGAGGAAUACAUCGGAAUCUACUUUUUCGUGGGGGAUAACGUAGGGAAACUUACGCUAAUACCGCAUACUACCUACGGGUGAAAGCAGGGGAUCUUCGGACCUUGCGCGAUUGAAUGAGCCGAUGUCGGAUUAGCUAGUUGGCGGGGUAAAGGCCCACCAAGGCGACGAUCCGUAGCUGGUCUGAGAGGAUGAUCGGCCACACUGGAACUGAGACACGGUCCAGACUCCUACGGGAGGCAGCAGUGGGGAAUAUUGGACAAUGGGCGAAAGCCUGAUCCAGCCAUGCCGCGUGGGUGAAGAAGGCCUUCGGGUUGUAAAGCCCUUUUGUUGGGAAAGAAAAGCAGCAGGUUAAUACCCCGCUGUUCUGACGGUACCCAAAGAAUAAGCACCGGCUAACUUCGUG